rnacentral:misc_RNA from 1 species
GAUGAAGAACGUAGCAAAAUGCGAUAAGUAAUGUGAAUUGCAGAAUUCAGUGAAUCAUCGAAUCUUUGAACGCACAUUGCGCCCGCCAGUAUUCUGGCGGGCAUGCCUGUUCGAGCGUCAUUUCAACCCUCAAGCCCUCGGGUUUGGUGUUGGGGAUCGGCGAGCCUUUCUGGCAAGCCGGCCCCGAAAUCUAGUGGCGGUCUCGCUGCAGCCUCCAUUGCGUAGUAGUAAAACCCUCGCAACUUGAACGCGGCGCGGCCAAGCCGUUAAACCCCCAACUUCUGAAUGUUGACCUCGGAUCAGGUAGGAAUACCCGCUGAACUUAAGCAUAUCAAUAAGCGGAGGA